rnacentral:misc_RNA from 1 species
GAAAUGCGAUAAGUAAUGUGAAUUGCAGAAUUCAGUGAAUCAUCGAAUCUUUGAACGCACAUUGCGCCCGCCGGUAUUCCGGCGGGCAUGCCUGUUCGAGCGUCAUUUCACCACUCAAGCCCAGCUUGGUGUUGGGGCACCCGGCCGCCCAGCGGACCGGGGCCCCCAAAUUCAUCGGCGGGCUCGUCGGGACCCUGAACGCAGUAACACGCGGUAAAACGCGCCCUCGUUCGGAGGCUUCAGGCGGGUUCUUGCCGCUAAACCCCCUAAUUUUCCUUAGGUUGACCUCGGAUCAGGUAGGAAUACCCGCUGAACUUAA